UACUAUCUCUGUGACGAA
rnacentral:miRNA from 1 species